rnacentral:rRNA from 1 species
GACGAACGCUGGCGGCGUGCUUAACACAUGCAAGUCGAACGAAGAGCGAUGGAAGCUUGCUUCUAUCAAUCUUAGUGGCGCACGGGUGAGUAACGCGUAAUCAACCUGCCCUUCAGAGGGGGACAACAGUUGGAAACGACUGCUAAUACCGCAUACGAUCUAACCUCGGCAUCGAAGAUGGAUGAAAGGUGGCCUCUAUUUAUAAGCUAUCACUGAAGGAGGGGAUUGCGUCUGAUUAGCUAGUUGGAGGGGUAACGGCCCACCAAGGCGAUGAUCAGUAGCCGGUCUGAGAGGAUGAACGGCCACAUUGGGACUGAGACACGGCCCAGACUCCUACGGGAGGCAGCAGUGGGGAAUCUUCCGCAAUGGACGAAAGUCUGACGGAGCAACGCCGCGUGAGUGAUGACGGCCUUCGGGUUGUAAAGCUCUGUUAAUCGGGACGAAAGGCCUUCUUGCGAAUAGUUAGAAGGAUUGACGGUACCGGAAUAGAAAGCCACGGCUAACUACGUG